UGCAAUAAUAAUUAUUAUAGUCUGAUUUCAUAUUCUCUUUUGAUAUUUGGAAUAGCACUGCAUAAUGCAAAAACUUAACAAUGGCAGGUAUUAAAAAAGUAGAUAAAUAAUAAAAAAAAUUUAAUCACAACUUAUUUUUGAAGAGGAAGUCUUCAAUAAUGCAAAUCAAUAGAGAAUAAUUAAUUCAGAAAUUAUUGAAAGGUUUUGAACGACUGGGUGAGUAUUACUUUAAUUAGAACAGACAUUAACUUAUAACGCUAUACAUGUAUCAUUAUGCAGAUUUUCCAGAAAUCGCAAAAACUCAUCUUGUUUUUUUGUCCAUACUUAAAAAAUUGCAAUAAUAAAUGCACUCAAUAAUUUAUGAAUUUACAAUAUAAAUAGAGUAUCAUAGUACAUGUAGUAAUUGCUAUAUUUUAGCACCAAAGCAUACAGUGUAUUUCUCAUGUCAUCUAACAUGGGCUAAAGUUCUUAUUCAAAUUCAAAGUCUACAAUUCUAUCACAGAACAGGUAAAUAAAUAUAUGCACAUAGUUCUUAAAGGAUUUGCAUAAUUAGGAAUCCUUUAAUAUGCUUGGUUAUAUACACUUCUGAUUGUGGCAGUAUUAUUUUUUCAAUAGGCUGUGUUCAUUGGGCUACUUUUGUUACAAUUAUAAACAUGGAUGCUUGAAUUGAGGUUACACAUAUAAGAAAUGUUAUUAAACAUUAUUUCCAUCUAAUCAUUGAUAAAAAUAAUACAAAGUUUAAGAAUUACAGGAGUGAAGCAAUUUUUUCCAGGGUUUAGUCAUGAUUAAAUUUCACCUUCAUUUUAAUCAACAAAAAAACCCAGAUAUAAGAUUUGAAAAAUUGGUACAAACUGUCUCAAGUUAUUUUCUUAAAAAUAAGAAAUUACUAUUUCACAACUAAGAAUAAUAGGAGACAAUUAAUUUUACAAUUGCAAAGGGAGAUAACCCAUUUUACAACUCUUGAAAAUGGGAGACACCCUAUAUUCCAUAUCUGCCAACUUUUGAAAAUCUCCAUGGGGGAUUUAGCGCAGGACCAGAUUUUUAAGAGUUACAAUUUUAGCCACUUUUCUGUGUGCAUUGUUUUUUACUCCGAAAAUAGUCUAAGUUCUCUUUUUUUUUCUUUUGGUAUACUAAUGAUGAGCUUGUAGGCCUUGAUUUCUUUUAUUUGCAUGAUUCUUGUACUAUUAAAUUAUAAAAUUGACAAAAUAACUGAAGAAUAGAGAAAAAUGGCAUUAAAAAUAAAAGCCCUU
rnacentral:lncRNA from 1 species